GAGGGUAUAGCUCAGUGGUAGAGUGUGUACUUAACAUGCACAGGGCCCUGGUUUUAAUCCCCAGUGCUGCCA
rfam:Ictidomys tridecemlineatus contig034611, whole genome shotgun sequence.